UCCUCUCCUCUCCUCUCCUCUCAGCCUCUCACUCUUUCCUCCUCUCCUCUCUCUCUCUCUCUCUCACCGACGGGAGCUGCGCGGCGUGGCGGGCUGGAGCGGCGGGCUCGGCACCGGCAGCGGCUGCGGCCUUCCAUCCGUGACGGCGGCGGGCACGGCGACGACGACGGGAGCGGUGGCGGCGGCGGCGGCUGCAGCUGCGGCUAGGUCGGCCAGCGUCCGAAGGUCGCGGGGCAGCGGAUCCGUCGGCCGUGGAGCCGGCCGCUGGCGACGACGACGGCGGUUGUGGUGACGCCGGAUGCGGCGAGCUCGACCGGUGGCAUGGCCUAGGGAGGAGCUCGCGGCACUCGACGGCGACGGCCAUGGUGCAGAGUUUGCCGGCUCGAGGAGCAGCAGGAAGAAGGAAGAAGAUGGGGACGUGGAUGUCGCUGGUGUGGUUCUUGAUGUUCCCGGCGAAGAAGUACAAGAUCGUCGUCGUCGGCCUCGACGAUGGCAAGACCACCACGCUCUACAAGCUCCAUGCUGCCCAAACCAAUCUCCCCCAACCCGACCUUUCUCCUCCCUGGCAGUGGCAGCCAAGGGGCUUGGAGCUCGUUGGGUGGCGUUACUAGCGGCGAUGGCCGAAGGGCGUGGAGCUCGAGGGACCCCCUCCACAACCGCUCGCCACCGCCAUCACCUUGGCCACCACCUAUCUCGUGUGCCGAUCUCAACCCGCUAUGGAGGAGGGCAGAUUUGUGGCAGGAAAGCGGUGGGAGACUGCUUGCUGGGGGCUGGAGGGAGUGAGGCCAGUGGAAAACGGGAUGGAGGCUGAGACAGAGGGAGCUCGUCGGCAACUUCGGCUGCUCCAUUGAGAUUUUCAGGGAGGAAGGGGAAAGAGCAGAGAGGAAGGAAGAAGAAGAAAGGGGUGUACUGACUAGUGGGACCCCCUCUCCCUCUUGGUGACGUGGAAUUCUUUUUUAGAGGUGGCAUCCGACGUGGCAUCCAAUUGUACCAAAACCAGCCUAAAAUUGCUUUGGGGGUAAAGUGUCCGGUUUUAAUAGUUCGAGGGUGUUAGAUAUCCGGUUUUACAGUUCGAGGGUGUGUUUUAGACAAGGUAAAUAGUUGAAGGGCGUAAAAUGGACUUAUCCUUUUUUUUAAAAUAAGACGAAUGAUCAAACGUUUAAGAUAGAAGCCCACGACUGCACUUAAAAUAGAUUAGAGGGAAAAUAUUUUAUAUUACGACUUUAAACAUUACUCUCUCCUUCGAAAAGUCUAAGUCCUAUUUCUUUUUACACUAAGACAAAAAAAAUAAUUCAUUUACCAUGUGCCAAAACCAAUGAACAUGCAACCAUUAAACAUAAAAAUGGCUUCUUGGGUUUCUAUUAAAAAUUUAAUUUAGCACAUGAUCACUACAGAUAGGAAUUGAUUUUUGAAAAAAAAUUAAAGAAUGAAAUAGGUAGGAGGGAGUUAUUCUGUUUAGACUGUGUUUAGUUCAUUAAAAAAAAGUUAAAAAUUUAGGAAAAGUUGAAAGUUUGGAAAAAAAAAGUUAAAAGUUUAUAUGUGUAGGAAAGUUUUGGAUGUAAUGUAAUGUGAUGUAAAAUUAGAAGUUUGGGGUAGCUGGGGUAAACUAAACACGCCCUAAAUUUUACUCCUAUGGAAGCAGUAUUGCCUCUGACACGCAAAGCUAGCUUUCGAUCGAUCUCAUCCGCGUCACUGUCCCUACCUAGCUGACCAGCACCAGCUCGAUCGAUCUACUCCUAUCUAGCAAGAUCCAGUAUGCUCCCUCACAGAUUAUUUAUCAAAUUAAUUAAUCACCCCGUUAAUUACACCACUGGUUCACUUAAACCCUAGUUAACCCCCUAACCCCAAACCCCCCAUCCCCCGCUAUAAAUACCACCCCCAAAUCUCCCUCCCAAACCAACCCAACCCAAAGGAAAUCCAUCCAUGGCGAUCUCCAAGCUCCAGCUCGCCCUCCUCGCCGCCGCAAUGGCGGCGGCGGCGAUCUCCCCCACCGCCUCCGGCGCCUACACCGGCUGCGCGACGCCGAGGAAGGUGACGAUCCAGAACCUCUCCGGCCGCGACCUGCCCCUCUCCGAGACGCCGCUGGCGAACAGCGGCGCGCUGUUCGGCGCCGGCUACGUGCUCCGCCACGGCACGCACGCCGAGUUCACGACGUGCCUGUGGACGGGGCGCGUGGCGGCGCCGGGGGCGGCGGUGGUGGAGUUCCACGUCGGCCCCGACGGCGGCGCGUGGUACCAGGUGGACAACCGCCAGGCCGGGUCGCCGGUGAAGGUCACCGUGACGCCGCACGGCCGGCCGCUCCAGGGCCACUGCCCCGCCGCCGGGUGCCGCGGCGGCGGCCAGUGCUUCGCCGACGCCGUCCCCGGCGGCAACUGCCACGCCGUCGACGAGCUCAAGAUCAUCUACUACAGCCCGUGAUUUUGGUUUUGGUUUGGUUAAAUUUCGUUUGGAUUAGUGGGUGAUUAGGCCGUCUAUUAGUUUUAAGUUAAUCAUUUGGAUCGUCGUUGAGUCCGUCUACUAGCUAUAUGUAGCUACUGCUAGCUUUAGCUAGUGAGUGUGUCAGUGUGUGACAGUGUCACGUCAUCGCAUGCAUGCAUGCAUUGAUGUCGACAUGUCCUCGUAAUGUGCGUCGUGUUUUGUCUUGUCGUGUUGUUGAUUAAUCCUCGAUAAUUUGAUGUGCAUGCAUUGUUUGCAGUGCAGUGUGCCAGUGUUGUUAUAUUACUGGACAGUGGACGCCUGAUCGAGCAGUGAAACUCCAGCUGAACAUUAUCAUCAUAAUCAUAGACAAAAAUAUAAUGGAAAGGAAAGAUGAACUGAUGAAGUAGCUUAAUAACUACUCCAUCCGUAAAAAAAAAAAACUGACCUAAGAGUAAGAGGGGAUCCUCUGUUCAGAUUCGUGGUACUAUAAGAGUCACGUUCACUUAUAGUUUGGUUUUUUAGGACGGAGAAAGUACUUCACUCCUCAUUAUUUUUGGUUUUUUAGGACGGAGAAAAUACUUCACUCCUCAUUAUUUUUAGCACAAUAUCAAAUCAAACAUUUUUAAAUUUGACUAUAAUAGUAAAAAAAUUAAAAUUGAUAUUACUAGAUUUAUCAUUAAAUAAACUAUCAUAAUAUGAAACUCUUUUUAUUUAGAACAUCUUAUUUUUAUAGAUAUUGUUGGUUAAAGUAUCAUUUUGAAGACUAUGUCGAAGUCUAAAAAAUACUUAUAUUUUAGUACAGAAGGAGUAGUUUAUUCUUUUAACAGAGUAUCGGAGUGAAGACAAAUAUGCAAAUUCUUUGAUCGUAUUUAAGAAAGGAAUAUUACAAUAAGGCUAUAAUAAUUGGGCAUAAGGCAAGAAUUAAAGUGAAUCAUGACAAAUUGGGAAGCAUAUGUACCAAUAAUUUUUUCUAAUAGUAAACAUGAACAUAAGUAUUAUAAAUAAAUGCAGUGGUGGCAGAUACUACAAACAUUCCUCAAGCACGAGAUGUGAAUUUCAAAUUGAUGAUUAGUUUAGAAAAUUUAUACUAAAUACUAAUUUGGUGUAUUAAUUAUUAAACAUAGAUUAAUUACAAAACUAAUUACACAUAUGGAGUCUAAUUUGCUAGACGAAUUUAUUAAAUCUAAUUAAUCUAUAUUUAGCACAUAUUUACUGUAACAGUACAUUGUCAAAUUAUGGAUUAAUUAAUCUUAUCUCGUAAAUUAAUCUUAAUCUAUGUACUUAAUUUUUGAAAUUAGUAUAUGUUUAACCGUUUAAAUUAAUGUCUAAACAUCGAUGUGUCCCUGUAUUCCAACUACCCCUACGUUGUGCUACUGCUACCUGAUCUGAAUAGUAGUAUGAUUCCAGCAUGCACGCGUGCCCGGCAGAGCUCAGAUCUCAAAAAUUAACAGAGUAUCUUCUGGCCCAUUCCCUGCACAAGCAGAUAAAAAAGCGUAGCCACUCGUUUCUGUCGACCAUUUGGUCCAAUUGCAAAAUUAACCAAAUGCAAAAUGAAUGGAAAUUUGUACUAAGUGACGAUUAACUUGGUUAAUUAACCUGAAACUCAAGAAAUUAAUGAGACCGGAUUAAUCACACUUCUAUUACUUAUGCAAAUGCACAGCUUGUUUACUGCAAAAUAAACUAUGAUUAAAAAAACAAAAAAUCAAAUCCAAAAUUAAAUUCUAAAAUUUAAAUUUGAACUUAUAAGUAUAAGCAUAAGCCAACUAAUAAGGUCAUGAGGCUCGUGUCUCGUCUGGCUCGUGUCUCGUCUGCCCCUCUCUUGUCCUCCUUGCUCUUCUUUUUUCUGGUCAGGUCCCAAUUCUAGCGACAGCCCAAUUUGGACUUGUUUGGAGCUGGAGCUCAGCCAAACAGUUUCAGUUCCACCUAAAAUAAGAGUUGAGUUGAAUGAAGCACUCUCACAAAAUAAACUAGAGAGGUGAAGUAGGGUUUAGUCAGCCUCACAAUUCUACUUCAGACACAACUCCUGAAGCUAAAUUCAAGAGUUGUAGCUCUAAUUGACCGUCCAUGCUGGGGAGUGGACACCCAACACUAAAGGCCCCUUUGAAUCGCAGGAUUGAGAAAACGUAGUAAUAAGAAAAACGUAGGAUUUUGAUAGGAAUGUAAGUGUAAAACAGAGGAUUGCAAAACACAGGAAAAACACAUGAAUGACCAUUUGAUUGAACCACAGGAAAAACAAAGGAAUUGGAUAAGAGAGAUAGAUUCAAAGGAAAGUUAACAAGAGGUUGAAACUCUUGCUAAAUUUCCUCCAAAAUCUCUAUAGGAUUGUCCAUUCCAUAGAAAUUUCAAAUGAUUAAAUAGGAUUCAAUCCUUUGUUUCAAAGGGCUUCGUAGGAAAUUUUUCUAUAAAAUUAAAACCCUCUACAAUUCAUAUUAUUUUCCUCCGAAUCAAAGAGCCUAACGAGGCCAUGCAUUCCUACGCUAUCCGGCCUAGAAUCAUUGGCCGGCCCGUCACGUACGGCCCAACGUUCGAGAUUAUGGGGUUGUUUGGUUGGCGGCUUGGAAUGCCACGCCACGGCGUGGCUCGCCACAGGAGUGUGACGGACGUUUCGUCCGCCUCAGAAAACACUGUAGAGUGGCGAAAAUACUGUAGCUAUGGUAUUCAAUGGCUGGGAUCCAAACACACCCUAUGUGAUUAAUUGCAGCAGUUUCAGCCUUGUACGCACCAAAUAAUCGGAGCUGAUUUCUUCCGUCCAACACCUGAAGAACGCAAGGGUGGUACUUUUUACACUGUAAAAUUUGAAGGCUUAGGUUUAAAAAGCAUUUUAUGCAUUUUUGACCCAAAAAUAUUUAAGGUUUAGGUAGGGUUGUGAAAGAAAACAAAAUUAUUAUCAAUGAUAGGUAAUUUACCAAAGAGAAACAAAAUUAAUAAUUUACCAAAUUAUUAGUUAUCAACAAUAAUUUUAAUUACAUCACAAGUUAUUAACAGUUAGCAUCACAAAUGAACCAAGAGAAAGGGGUACAAGAAUUCAGAGAUGAGUCAAAAUUAGCUAAUAGAUAUGUAUCAGGUCGAGCAUGAGUUACUAACGGAUAAAAAAUGAAACCUGUUUGUUGCCCAUAACGUCUUCGGAUCUCGAACGGACAUGUCCGCGGGUAAAAAGUCACACCCACGCCCAUGCCCAUCGGGUCGGGUAUCCACGAAUACCCGGACCUAUGGGCAAAAUUGCCAUCUCUAGCCAUAAGCUCUACAUUGUGAAGAUCUAAACAACACCAUAUGUUGGGGUGAGUCACAUAAUAUAAGGGAUUUCAGGUGGAUGUAAUAUAUCCCAGUACACAUCUUAGUCAAUAUUCAUUGUACUAGAAUGUGUCACAUUCAUCUAAAAUCUCUUAUAUUAUAGUACGGAGUAAGUAGUAACAAUUUCUGGCUCUUGUCGUUCUUUCAUUCAGGGGAAGAAAUAGUUAGAAGAAGAAAAGAAAGAACACAGCUGGAUGGGUAGAUUCCAUGGCAUAUCCAGCAUGCAUUCAACCUCCUCGCCCACACUCACAGUCAUCGUUCUUAUCCUCCUGACCCUCCGAUUGUUGAAAGCAGCACGUGUGGAUCUGUACACGGACACUGCAUUUAAUACACAGUACAUCAAGCACGAAGCCUCCGAAUUGUUGUAAUUUGCAUUAUAUUGCAAUUUACAGACAUGCACGUUUAGCAAUAAUGCACUGUAUUCGUUCAAGAAAAUCCUUUUUCCAGUUUGGACGACAAAAUUCAUAACAAAUGCUAAACUUGCUAAUACCCACGUAAAAGAAAAAAAAAACUGCAUUUAUGUUUGCGCAGGGCUUGUUCGAAAUGCACGAUGAAAAAAAGAACGAAGAAAUAGAAAAACGUAUGAUUUUAAUAAAAUGUACUACUUCCGUCUCAUAAUAUAGGUAAUGAAGUAAUCUAUAAUCGGAUGGAACUCAUAGUAUAACAAAUCUGAACAAAAGAGUGUUUAGAUUCGUUGUACUAUGAAAUGUCUUAUUCAGUUCUUUAUUGUUUUAUUAUGCGAGUGAGAAAGUAUAAACAAGUACAAAUAGAUGAAUGUAAAACAUAAGAAUGGACGUUUAAUUAGGCUACAGAGAAACAUAGGAAUAAGAUAAGAGACAUAUUCAAGGGAAAUUUUGAGGUUUGAGCUAUUGUUAACUUUUCAUCAAAAUCUCUAUAGAAUUGACCAUUUUAUAAGAAUUUCAAAAGAAAUGAUAGUUUCAAACGACUUUUAUAUUUUUUUUCAUGUAUGAAUGAAAUCCUCAAAAUCUCAUAGAUUUUUCUUGCAAAUCAAAGUGGGCUUUCCGCAAGACCGGUGGCUUAAUUUGGCUACAAGGUUAACGCUGUGUUCGGAUUCCAGUAAUGGGAACUAAUCCCUCCUGCACGGAAAACGGAGCAGUCCAUUAACGUGUGAUUAAUUAAGUAUUAGCUAUUUUUUAAAAAACGAAUUAAUAUGUUUUUUAAACAACUUUCGUAUAGAACCUUUUUAUAAAAAAACAUAUUAUUUAGUAGUUUAAAAAGCGUGCGCGUGAAAAACGAGUAAGAUGAGUUAGAAACAUGGGAUGCAAACACAGCUGUAACUACAGCCUACUCCAGCCCAACCAUAGUCUACCGCUGGUCACAUUAUUUGAUUCUCUCUCUCUCUGUGAAAAAAAAAGAAGAGAAACUCAAUCCUGCGCUUGUAUUUAAAGCGUAAAAAUAGGAUGCCCAUAAUUGAUCAAGUUACUUCUCCAGACAAGAUUUACUUAUUUGAUUUAGACAUAUAGUACAUGCAGAAUCUCAAAAGGGAUAUGAAAAUCUGAAAAAAGUUUAUGCCAAUGUGACUAAGGCUGCCCAUGUUUUUCUCCCUUCUCUUUUUGAGAGAAGGCUGAAUGCGAAAGGCGGCAUAUGCUUGAGGUUCACUCGAGUGGGCCGACCGGAGGCAUCAUGACUCGUGAUAACAGUCCAAAUCAUGGAGCCAUGCCGCCAUGGAUCAAAGCUGCCUAGCUACCUCUCUAUUGUCUAUGGAUCCUUAUGCUGACAAGGACAUCCUAAUGUGCUCCUCCAUUUUAAACACUCCCUUUUGUUUUAAAAUAUAAGCUAACUUUAGAAAAAAUAUUAUUUGAAGGGAUUAACAACAUCGGUAAAUUUUUAUUAGGGAAAUGUACUGAUUGGUUGUGAUGAUGAGAGUAUAUGUAGAGACAUUAAAUGAGAGAGAGAUGGUUGAGUCGAGGGAGUAGGCGAUCAGGCAUAGAAGUAGAUAUAUUUCAGGAUAAAUUUUAAAUGUUAAAAGAAAAAAAAGUACUCUUACAUCUUAAAAUAUAAGUAUUUUUAAAUUUCGAUAUGGUCAUUGAGAUUCUACUUGGCUAAAAAUAUUUAAAAAAUAAAAUACUUUAAAUAUAAGCAUUUUUAAACUUCGACAUAGUCAUUGAGACGCUACUUUGACUAAAAAUAUUUUAAAAAAUAAUAUGUUUUAAAUAAAAAGAGUUGUAUAUUACGAUAGUUUAUUGAAUGAUAAAUCUACUAGUAACAUUAUUCUUACAUGAAUGAUCAUUUUUAUUUUUUAAGCUAUUAAUGGUCAAAGUUAAAAAUGUUUGACUUAGCAGCAUUUAGAAAAUGAUUAUAUUUCAGGAUGGAGAGAGUAGUACUUUAUCAACAUUGAUAAUAAUUUCUACUAGCUAGCAAUCAACACCGUACAUAUAAGUACUAGUACUACAUUCUUUGUAAAAUAAAAGGGGAUUUUGAGAAUGUGUGUGCACAUAUAUUUGUCGAAAUCCAUCCCUGUGACGGAUGUAGUAUAAACUUGCUUAUAUUACAACCAAUGCAUGCUGGGUUCUCUGCUAUCGGAUUGCGUACGCGCGUGCAGAAUUGUUGCUAGCUGUGCGCUACUCCUGUAGUUUGUUGGUAGUAGCACUCUAGCUAACCGCUUCGUUACAUGAUAUACUGAAUUAGACACCACUAGGCCAUCUAAUACCACAAAAUCUGAAUAUUCGUGAUACUAUGUGGUGGUAUUAUUUUGCUUAUUGUAUUUUACUAGGUACUCCCUGCAUCCAAUAUUAGUGCAACUUACAAAAUGUGAUAUAUCUUAUGAUUACGAAUUAGAAUUAUUAAUCUGGAUAUACAAUUGUCCAGAUUUAUAUUUUUAGGAUAUGUCAUAGUUGUCUGUUGCGAUUUUUAGUAUUAGAAAAUACUACAUUUAUAUUAGGUUACUUAUAUUGAUACGUACGGAGUAAGAAGGGUAAGAAAGAAUACGUUCACUGUUUUCCAGAACAGGUUUCCAUGCUCAUUGGUUCUUCGAAGGUUCUUGGCUUCGCAUCAAGCACGCGCGCAGUUUCCUAGGGCAGUCAACACUUGGGUUGUGGAUGCAAUCACACGAGCUACAGCGCACGCAGUUUUAGGCUUUAUGCAGUGAGCGUUGAGUGCAUGGAAUACUUUGGUUGUGAAAUCCUUUAUAUAUAUAUAUAUAUAUAUAUAUAUAUAUAUAUUUCUCUUUUAAAAUGGUGAAGUUAAUUAGCUGGCUAUCAUAUAAUCAUAUACUAAGCAAAUUAAUAACUUUCUCUUUGGAAUAAUUUAAACACAGGUGGUCGAUCGAAUAACAAAAGCAUCACGAGCUAUGAAUAUAAAUCCGACGGAACCCUAUAAGAUUCAUCAGUUCUUACUAAUCCAAAUUCCAAAGCAUGCACUUUUCAUCAUUAUCCCAUCUCAUAAACAAUUACUACAGCCCAAGGUUUUGACAUUAGAGCAAGUUUAAUAAUAUACUUCCUCUGUCCUAAAAUAUAGCUACCUAAUACUACAUGUGAUAUUAUCUUGUACUGCUGUCCAGAUUCGUAGUACUAGAUAAUGUCACAUCUACUACUAGGUAGCUAUAUUUUGGAAUGGAGGUAGUAGCUAAUCAUCUUCAAAUUAUUUAUAGUCAAUCUAAUAGAUGAUUCAUAUAAUUUGUAUCACCUCAAUAAUAAUUGGUAUCAUCUCUUCUCUCUCACCUAUAUAUUAUCUUUUGUAUACGUGCUUAUAAUUGAUUUAUAGUCUGUCAUUGUAUCUGCUCUUAGCUAGCUUGAUGACCUAGCAGCUUCAUCGAUUCUUGCGUGUCCUUUUGGAUUAGUGUGCAUCCAAGCUACGACAAUGGCGGCCGCCACCUUCGCCUUUAUAAAGCUUACCUUUGCUACCACUCAACCACACCCCCAUCCUCACCAACUCACUCCCUUGAAAAGCUAGACACACACACAUGGCCAAGCAGCUCGCCCUCGUUCUCCUCGUCGCCGUCGUGGCGGCGGCGGCGACGUCGGUGGCCGCCGCCACCAAGCUGACGCUCCACAACCUGUGCCCGUACCCGGUGUGGCCGCUGGUGACGCCCAACACCGGCUUCCCUUCCAUCUCCGGCAACACCGCGCGGCUCGACGGCGGCGGGCGCGGGCUCGUGUCGUACGACUUCCCGGCGAGCUUCUGGGCGGGGCGCGUCGUGGCGCGCACCGGGUGCGGCGGCGGCGGCGGACUGGUGCGGUGCGAGACCGGGAACGCGCCGCCGGCGACGGUGGUGCAGCUGGUGGUGCACUCGCCGGAGGGGGCACAAGACCUGGCCGCGUACAGCGUGAGCUUGGUGGAUGGGUUCAACGUCCCGGCGGUGGUGAGCCCGCAGGCCAUCGCCGGCGGCGGGCAGUGCCCGGCGC
rnacentral:lncRNA from 1 species